AUCGAUUGUCUAAUCAUCUGACAUACAAUAUUAUCUAUUUUAAAUUGUGUGUUUUUAAAAAAUAGUUUGUGAUAAUCAUCACAAUGUGAUUUUGACAUAUAUAAUUCAUAUCGUAAUAAUGUGUUUAGAGGACUCAAGUGCGAAACACGUGUUCAUAACUAGUUUUUCAUAAGAAUAAACUCUUUAAAAGAUUUCUUUCAUAUGUCAUAUGAUUUGUACAACCAUUAUCAAUUAUCCAAAAAUCAAAUUUAGACAGCUGUUUCAUCUUUUUGAAAUUUAUUUUUGCGAAUUACAACUUCAUGACCAAGUUGUUUGCAGAUGUUGCAUUGUGCAUCUGGUCUUUUCCAACAUUAAUAUGAAGGAUGUCAAUCUUUUCCGCAGUGCUGACAAGAAGCGGAUUGAUUUCAUAAUUCUCUUCCAUGGCUUUCAAAGAUCAAGAGCCUCCAAUGAUUAUGCAGGAAUAUCCUCUCUCAAGUCUUUCUUGCAUUCGAUAUUUCACACGAAAGACUUGGGACAGCUGAAAUAGUUCUUGAGAAUAGAAGUAGGAGUAAGAAGGGAACAUUUUUAUCUCAAAGGAAGUAUAUCCUUGACCUUCUUGAGGAAACUGGAAAGUCAAUAGCCAUGCCUUGUAAUACUCCAAUGGCUCCAAAUAUGCAGCUAACAAAAGAUGAUGGUGAUCCCUUUAAUGAUCCAGAGAGCUUUGGAGCAAAUAUUGUGUUACUUGAAAGGCGCCCCUAGACUUGGCAUAGUAUAUAGCAACAAUGGACAUACUCGCAUUGAGUGUUUUGUAGAUGCCGAUUGGGCUGGAUUGAUAGAAGGCCUACUACUGACUAUUGUGUCUUUGUGGGUGGAAACUUGGUGUCAUGGAGAAGUAAGAAACAAAAUGUUGUAUCUCGAUCCAGUGCAGAAUCCGAGUAUAGUGCUAUUACACAAUCCACACGUGAGAUUAUGUGGAUACAUCACCUCUUAAGUGAAGUUGGGUUAAAGUAUCCCACACCCGCGAAACUUUGGGAUUUCGCUCGUCCUCUUCUGACAUCAAUCUUACUGGAGUAGUGCACCAGGUUCUAGCAAAAUACCCAGCUCUGCUUUUCAAACAACAGCUAACAGCAUAUGUCGAGAAAAUGUAUGGAAUCAUUUGUGAUAACUUGAAGAAAGAGUUAGGGUCACUUCUUUCCUUUUGUAUCCAGGUAUGUUGAAUUUUACAAACUGCAAUCCACCGUCUUCAGUAAAAAAAAACAUCCAAGAGUGUCAAUAAAGUGGAUUGAGAAUCAUGAGGUCGUUCAAAUCUUAGGGAAGGCAAAAAAACUACGCGAUUUCUCCCCCUGUGUCCAAGCCUUCUAGAAGGAGUUACCCAUAGGACUUCAAAUCAACAGAUACUGAAUUUUUUUUAUAUCAACUAAUUUAAACAGUUGCAAAUAUUAAUUACUAACAAUUAUAUCGGUUACAAAAAAGGGGAUUUCACAAUUCGGGAAAUAUUCCAGGGUUGUAGCAUGCACCAAUUUCAAACACAAUAAUGUUCAAGGAUUUACCUAAGUGAAAGAGUAGAAGAAAAGCCCUAGAGAUAGUCCGCAAAAUCGCCCAAAUUGUGUUCUCUAGUUUUUCAAAAACUGAAUAAUGAUAAAAUAAGACGGCUGAACUAUUUAUAGUCUAAAAUAAAACACAUGAUUCAAACCUAGAGUCCGGGUCCGUGCACGUGCGCGGACCUAUUCCCUCUCUGCAUAUUUCGAAUAGCUUGAUCCAACUCUGUGACGCGCUUCCAUCGCGCAAUCCACUUUUUUGUGAUUCAAAAAUUGACUAUUGUAUGUUCAAUUGAAUUCAACUACAAUAAGUUACAAGACUGUUUGUAAAAUUAUCCCUUAUAACCAUGCUCUUUUUUGGUAAUAUACUAAUUAAACAUCUUUAUAUAAACAGAAUUUGUAAAAUUGAAUUCAAGGUGCUUUUACAAAUAGUUCGAAAUUUUCAGAGAGGGAACAGGUCUGCGCACGUGCGUGGACCUGGAAUCUAGGUUUGAAUCACGUGCUUUAUUUUAGACUAUAAAUAGUUCAGCCGUCUUAUUUUAUCAUUAUUCAGUUUUUGGAAAACGAGAGAAUUCAAUUUGGGAGAUUUUGCGGACUAUCUCUAGGGCUUUUCUUCGACUCUUUCUCUUAGGUAAACACUUUUAUGAUCCUUGAACAUUUUUGUGUUUGAAAUCCCCUUUUAUGUAACCGAAUUAAUUGUUAGUAAUUAAUAUUUGCAACUGUUUAACUUAGCUUUUUGCCUUUCCUGAGAUUUGAACGACCUCAUUGUUCUAAAUCCACUUUAUUGACACUCUUGGAAGUUGCUGCUUUUUGCCUACACCUGCGUAUAGUUGAUGCUAUUUUUCUUGAAAGUAAAAAUGGCAUUGGUAUUAGUAGUUGGCACGGAAUUUCUUUUUUCCUCUAUUAUCGCUUGUAAUAUUGUGGUUUUUUAUUUGAGGAAGGAUGGUAUCGAAAAAGCAAAGAGAAUUCUGUAAGGACAGACAGAAUCAUUCAGGGGUUACGAGUACAUGAUGUUAUACACACUUGUAUAUAAUAUGUGUUAUGGGAAACUGCCUUCUUACAGUUACGCUUCGCAGCUGUAUGAUAAGUACAAGGAAGCACUUGAUGAAUACAUCAAUUCUACAGAUUCGACAUGAAUGCUCCAGUAUUUUUGGAGAGUCCGAGCAACACAUCUUAUCAUAAUCAGGCCAACAUAUUAGUGAUCUUGAAGAAUGAGAAGGAUAGAGUGUCUCAUUAUCUCCACGUCAGUACCGAGAAACAACUUCUGGAGGUCAGCAUUGAAAUUUACCCUUAUUGUUUGUCUUCCUUUAAUUGAAUUUGUUUUCAAUGCUGAGACCAAAUUUUUGCUUUGCUCAGAGAUGAUAAGGUAUUGGUUACUUGUUUUGCUUAAUUUUCACUAUUAGUUUUCUGGUAGUUCUGAUUAAACCCCAUCUCACUCUUUCAUUUUUCCGCCCCUAUGUCGCCACACGGGGAACAUAGGGACGUAAAAAAGGGGGUCCCAUCAACUUGUUAUGACCUAGGAUAAUAAGUUUAUGAGCUUUGUCUUAGUCACCGUCGAGAAAGGAAAGAAUACUUUCAUCUCUAAGUUUCACUCAGACGUAGUUCCCUUCGUAGUUGACCUAAGAUGUCUAUAGAAAAUAUGCCCCAAAGUGGCAACUGAACAAUGCAAAUGGAGCAAAGUACUUUGCCCGCGAUGGUUUAUACAGACAGCAUGUGACAUUCUCAGUCCACAUAGACUGUCUUGUACAGCAUACUGUUUCAGGUUUCCUUUUGCUCCCAUGUAAAGGUUCCCUCGUAUGACCCAUACGUGACCUUCAUGGACCGCGCUUGGCUCCAUUCUGUCCGUAACUGUCUCUUCCACCAGAGGCCUUGUACUCCCAUUUCAGCAUGUUGGCCUUCAUUCCUUCCUUUAAUGUGCAAGUUCUCGAGGCACUGAAGGCAUUCCAGGAAGGGCUCUUACUUUAACAAAACUAGGACCGUCAACUCCAACUGUCCUUAUAGAUAGGCGAAAGUUACCCCCUCUCCUUAGAGUCAAGUGACUUUCACUCCUUCAAAUCCAUUAUAUUGGGAGGCCUAACGAGUGACAUAUUCCGAAGUAUGUCACUGCUGAAGACAUGGACAUGGUGCUACAAGCUGAAUUGUCCAUGUCCCCAUUACAUAUUUGGAGAGCUAUAAGGAAUCUUUGGCCUAGACUAGCAAAGAAUUCAUGUUAUGAGGUGGGUGCGUGUAACAAAAUACUAUUUUGGAAGGACUUAUGGAUUACAGAACGUUUUAAUGCGUUGUUAAGGUUGAUAACUUUUUGCGUAGCGAACAUGUCUUUCUACACAACAGAGGAGAAAGUGUAUGAUCUGUUCUCUCAUGCUGGAGAGAUUAAAAAGGUAGUGUGGAAUUCUGCUUUAUAAUGUAUAGCUUUAACUUUCUUUCAGUCUCCAAUUUCAUAUAUUUUGUGUUUGCUAUCUUUCAACCGUAUAGUUCCCUCUAGCUGCACUUUUGAACUCGAGCCUCACUACCUCCAUGAGGUAGUGAUAAGGUUUGUGUAUACUCUACCUUCACCAGACCCUACUUUUGGGAUUUCAUUGGGUAUGCUGUUGUCGUCGGUGUUAUCAAAGGCAAAAAGCGCAAAAAUGCUCUAAGGUACGUGGGCCUUUAAGUGCAAAGUGAUAAUAACGUGUGAGCAUUAAUGAAAAAAGGCGCAAGGGGAGAAAAAAUACAAAUCUAUAUAUGUUUAGUUCAAGACUAAUAAUUAAUUAUAAGCAUGAAUUAUAAAUAUGACCAAAGAAAUUGAAAAUCUUUAUGAUAAAGUGAAAUAUCAAUUUUUUAGUGUCACUGCCUUAGAACUGAAACUGGAUAUAACUGAAGGAAAGGCUAUGUAGGUACGAUAGGAGGGUACAGUUAAGCAGGGCUAAGCGAAGGCUCUCUCUCGCUCUGUGGUCUUGUGUUGAAACGCAUAUAAAGUGACGCGAAGUGCUCAACACAUUUUGAGUCUCGCUUCAGGGCUUAAACGCGCCUUUGACUACACUGGUAGUUGUUGUAUCUUCUUAAUGACUGGGAAAUAGGUAGAUUUGUGGUGCUAUUGGAGAUGCUUGAUGGUUUCAAACGCACCACCACAGAGGAUGACAUUUUUAGAUGAAAACAUGAUGAAAACUGUAACUUAUCUCUUCUUUUUGCUUGUUACGAAUAAUCUAAUAGUUAUAAAGUAU